CCAUUACCGCUGUGGGUAUAUAAGAGCGGAUGAGGAUUGGACGGAUAGUGCCUCACUGACAACAAAACGCCGUCAUCC
rnacentral:sRNA from 1 species